AAGGCUAUACUCUUAGGCAUUAUUUCUAUGGUUGGUUACUAAAGCAGUUUCUCUGGAUAUGAGGAGCGCCAGAAAUCACAAGAAGGAGGCAAAGCAUUCUCUCCUAAGCAUGAAGUUGGCUCUUGGUGAAGCUUCAUUGCAACCCCAAGUUGCCAUUGAUAAUCAUUCUUCUCUUUUUUUCAGGAGAGUAAGAGGGAAAGAAUUCAGUCUGAGUGGU